AACGAACGCUGGCGGCAGGCCUAACACAUGCAAGUCGAGCGAGGUCUUCGGGUCUAGCGGCGGACGGGUGAGUAACGCGUGGGAAUAUGCCUCUUGGUACGGAAUAGCCUCGGGAAACUGGGAGUAAUACCGUAUGUGCCCUUUGGGGGAAAGAUUUAUCGCCAAGAGAUUAGCCCGCGUUGGAUUAGGUAGUUGGUGGGGUAAUGGCCUACCCAGCGGAAGUUCCAUAGCUGGUUUGGGAGGAUGAGCACCGACACUGGGACUGAGACACGGCGCAGACUCCUACGGGAGGCAGCGGUGGGGAAUCUUAGCCAAUGGGGGCAACUCUGAGCUAGCCAUGCUGGGGGAGUGAUGAAGGGCUGAGGGUUGUAAAGCGCUUUUAGCUGGGAAGAUAAUGACGGUACCAGCAGAAGAAGCCCCGGCUAACUCCGUG
rnacentral:rRNA from 1 species